rnacentral:rRNA from 1 species
GUAGGGAAUAUUGCACAAUGGGGGAAACCCUGAUGCAGCGACGCCGCGUGAAGGAAGAAGUAUCUCGGUAUGUAAACUUCUAUCAGCAGGGAAGACAAUGACGGUACCUGACUAAGAAGCCCCGGCUAACUACGUGCCAGCAGCCGCGGUAAUACGUAGGGGGCAAGCGUUAUCCGGAUUUACUGGGUGUAAAGGGAGCGUAGACGGAUCUGCAAGUCUGGAGUGAAAGCCCGGGGCUCAACCCCGGGACUGCUUUGGAAACUGUGGAUCUAGAGUGCCGGAGAGGUAAGCGGAAUUCCUAGUGUAGCGGUGAAAUGCGUAGAUAUUAGGAGGAACACCAGUGGCGAAGGCGGCUUACUGGACGGUAACUGACGUUGAGGCUCGAAAGCGUGGGGAGCAAACAGG